rnacentral:lncRNA from 1 species
GGGUAGAGACAACACCGGUUGUAGUAGUUGUUUGUUGAGAAGAAAUGGGUAGUUGUUCCGUUGAUUCCAUUUGCUGAGAGUAGUUAUAGAUGGAUUGUUGCUGGGAAUCCAUGAGAAGGUUUGAUGAAGUAGAUAAAGAUGAUGAGCUUUGAUGAACUUUGAGGAGCUUUGAAAAAGAAGAGGGGGUUUGUGUAGGUUGUGAGUGUAAAGUGUGAAUUUUUGAAUUGUG